AUGGCACGCAUCGACUACGCGCCGGGAGGCCAGAACCCGCCGCACACCCACCCGCGUGCCACCGAGAUCAUCUUCGUCACCGAAGGAGUCCUCGAGGUGGGCUUCAUCACCACCGCCAACAAGCUCUUCACUAAGACUGUCACCGUCGGAGACGUGUUCGUUUUUCCGCGUGGCCUCGUGCACUUCCAGCAGAACAGGGGGCGUGGCCCUGCAUCCGUCAUCGCCGGCUUCAACAGCCAGCUCCAGGGCACACAAGUCAUCACCACCACGCUCUUCGCUGCCGCGCCGCCAGUGCCUAGCGACGUGCUGGCCAAGGCCUUCCGGGUCAGUAACGAGGACAUCGACGCCGUCAAGGCCAAGUUCAGGUAG
rnacentral:rRNA from 1 species